ACUCCUACGGGAGGCAGCAGUAGGGAAUCUUCGGCAAUGGGGGCAACCCUGACCGAGCAACGCCGCGUGAGUGAAGAAGGUUUUCGGAUCGUAAAACUCUGUUGUUAGAGAAGAACGUUAAGUAGAGUGGAAAAUUACUUAAGUGACGGUAUCUAACCAGAAAGGGACGGCUAACUACGUGCCAGCAGCCGCGGUAAUACGUAGGUCCCAAGCGUUGUCCGGAUUUAUUGGGCGUAAAGCGAGCGCAGGCGGUCUUUUAAGUCUGAUGUGAAAGCCCUCGGCUCAACCGAGGAAGGUCAUUUGGAAACUGGAGGACUUGAGUGCAGAAGAGGAAAGUGGAACUCCAUGUGUAGCGGUGGAAUGCGUAGAUAUAUGGAAGAACACCAGUGGCGAAGGCGGCUUUCUGGUCUGUAACUGACGCUGAGAUUCGAAAGCAUGGGUAGCAAACAGGAUUAGAUACCCUGGUAGCUACGAGU
rnacentral:rRNA from 1 species